CGUUGGCUGGUGAACGCAGGACUGUGUCUCCCCCGGGUGCGCGAUGUAAACAAACUAUUGUCAGUCUAGCCGCGUCUGUGAGUUCCAGGAACGCCAUGGUGGACUCUGGUAAAAGGGAAGUCUUUUUUUGCGGUGGCACAGUCGCCCGUCCACUUACUUCUUUAUUAAUUCCUGGGUUUGUAACCUUUACCAUCUUUACCCUUGAGUUUCUCCCUUCAAUCCAACUUUUUGAUGCUCUUUUCUGCCCUUGUAACCCCACAUUUCCCACCAGCUCCAAUUGCUGAGAUCAUGUAGUUCGGAGGUAGGAAUUCCCAGUGUUUUAAACGAGAGCUUUAACCCAAAGACUGUGGUGGAUGGGUAAUAGAAAAAGAUAAGUACUUCCACCUAUUUUUCAGCCUUCAAGGCAGAAUGUGGAUUCCUUCAAAUCACCUGCCUUUGAUUCUGGCUGCGCUGGGUCCUCACCCCUGGGCGUAGCCGCUUGGGACAAGUCGCCCCUUAGUUUCUGCUGGAGGAGACAGCCGUAUUUCACCCGGAAUAAAGUGAUUUAUGUGCACAAUUUAAAUAGUGUUUUGGAGCUCUGAGGAAUGCAAAAUGCAGCAUGACUUGAAGAUGGACAUCUGGGUUGUCUGAAGUUUUUGCUGUUUAUCAGAGCUGCUUUGCGACUCGGAUGGGUUAGUAGAACUUCCUUUCCACUCUAGCUCUUGCAGCUCUGACCACCAGCAGCCAUUUAUGUGACUGAACAAGUUGCUUCACUUACCGAGUCUCAGUUUACAUCAUCUGCAAAAUGGAGCCAACAAAGACUAGUCAAGUCAGCAAAUGUUUCCAUGAGGCUGUUUUCAUCUCCUGAAACGGGGAGACCAGAACAUCAUGUGUGCAAAAUGCCUCUUUUUAACACACACUGUGUGGAUGACUGAAAACAAUGACUUAUUUUGUACUCUAAGCAGAGUGUGUUCUCCAUGAAUCAUAACAGUGACAAAAAUGGUCAGUUUGAAAUUUCUCCUGUUCAGGGAGGAAACCUUGGGGAUGAAUCAUGGAUUCAGUGAUGAGUUUCCUGAGGAAGCUAAAUUGGAAAGCUGCAGUUAAAAAGGAGUGGAGAGUGUAGCCUUAACCAGAACGCAAUGCUUAUAAACCCCGAGAAGGCCAUAGAUGCCACCUUCUGCGCUGACACUCGCACAGAAGCCUGCAGAAGAGCUCCUGGACUUCCACCCGCUGGGGAGAAGCUCUGAAAGCAGAGGAAACCAAACACAACAAGUAAAGUUCCCCAUGGAUUGGGAAAAGAAACAAGACUUUUCAUUGGGGGAAGGGCGACAUGUGGCUGCCUGAGAAGAGGAACACAACUGCGCACACUCGCUCAUGUGAAAGAAAUUCAUUUAAGAGCAAUUGAAUUAGAGAUGGAGAUUUACAUGGAUGGCUUUCAAGAAGAGGAGCAGCGUAAGAGUCAAAAUGUACAUCAGUCAUUUGCUACAAAACUGUACACAGCACUGGGGCCUGAGGAUACAGUAAGUGGAAAAAUGGGCCACUAAAUGGUAAUUAAACUAUGAUUACAAUUAUGUAAAAGAUGUAUGGGAGAGACAAGGACUAAACAGGAAGACAGAGAAAUUAACACAGUUAUUGUGUUAAUGGUGUAGGGAUGUUACUUGUUUUGCAUUGUGGAAAUUGUGGGCAUUUGAACAGGAGGGCAGGGCUGGGGAAAGGCUGUACAGAGCUGCUUGUAAGAGGCCACACCAGGAAUUGGGUGUUUAAGCUUCACGUACCUUGCCAGCUGUGAACUUAACCUCUGGGAGCCUCAGUGUCCUGAUAUAGGAAGCGGGAAUAGCAGCACCUACCCUGCACCUCUGAGGUAGCGGAAGCGCUUUGUAAAGCGGAAGUACCGUGGGAGAUGGUGUGAGGAUCAGAGUGGCGUAUGGACCAGAGACUUCACGUGUCUGGAGCUCAGUAAGUCACCGUGAGUCGCUCAUCUUAGCAGUCGCUGUGGGAACUGGACAGCCUGGACUGUGUCAUUUAAUUGCACAAUGUACAAAUUACAAACACUGGGCACCCCCUGGUUUGCUAACCAGGUUUUUAAGCACCAUUUAUAGAA